ensembl:miRNA MIR101-2 microRNA 101-2
GACUGAACUGUCCUUUUUCGGUUAUCAUGGUACCGAUGCUGUAUAUCUGAAAGGUACAGUACUGUGAUAACUGAAGAAUGGUGGUGCCAUC